rfam:Coccidioides immitis RMSCC 2394 supercont1.24 mitochondrial scaffold, whole genome shotgun sequence.
GGGGUUAUAGUUUAAUUGGUAAAACUAGGACUUUGCACGUCUUGAACUCAGGUUCGAUUCCUGAUAACUCCA